ACACGUGGCGGACCUGUAGAGACUUCGACCGCUUGCACAAUGUUUGUCCUGGUUGCGUUGCCGUAGCCGUCCAGCUGUGCGCGUCUCUUCCUCGUCCAGGCUGCCGUCUCUGCGCUUUAGCGUCAUUUGCACAAAACGAGACAUUUAACCGGCUCCCUGCGAUGCAAAGCUCUCGACAGCGAUUUCCCCACGUGGUCCCGCCGUGUUCCUGCUGUUCUGGCGACGGGGAGUAAAUGGUCCUCCUCUUCCUCUCCAGGUGAAGGCCAGCCGAGGCUGUGAUGCUGUGACUGCUGCCUCCUGGUCCUGUGAGAGCCGCUGCAGGACGGCCACAGCUGCUGCACGCCGUCUGCACAGCUGAGAUGCGGCUGCAGCGAGCAGUGAUGCCUCAGCAGCUGCUGGUGUGUAAAGAAGAGGUUCCCCCUGAGCAGCAGGAGUGCA